CUUCACCGAGCCCAGCAGCACGGGCCGGUUCGCGGGCCGAUCGCUGCCGUAGGUGGCCAUGAUCGCCUGCGCCUC
rnacentral:antisense_RNA from 2 species